GACGAACGCUGGCGGCGUGCUUAACACAUGCAAGUCGAACGGAAAGGCCCUGCUUUUGUGGGGUGCUCGAGUGGCGAACGGGUGAGUAACACGUGAGUAACCUGCCCUUGACUUUGGGAUAACUUCAGGAAACUGGGGCUAAUACCGGAUAGGAGCUCCUGCUGCAUGGUGGGGGUUGGAAAGUUUCGGCGGUUGGGGAUGGACUCGCGGCUUAUCAGCUUGUUGGUGGGGUAGUGGCUUACCAAGGCUUUGACGGGUAGCCGGCCUGAGAGGGUGACCGGCCACAUUGGGACUGAGAUACGGCCCAGGCUCCUACGGGAGGCAGCAGUGGGGAAUAUUGCACAAUGGGCGGAAGCCUGAUGCAGCAACGCCGCGUGCGGGAUGACGGCCUUCGGGUUGUAAACCGCUUUCGCCUGUGACGAAGCGUGAGUGACGGUAAUGGGUAAAGAAGCACCGGCUAACUACGUGCCAGCAGCCGCGGUGAUACGUAGGGUGCGAGCGUUGUCCGGAUUUAUUGGGCGUAAAGGGCUCGUAGGUGGUUGAUCGCGUCGGAAGUGUAAUCUUGGGGCUUAACCCUGAGCGUGCUUUCGAUACGGGUUGACUUGAGGAAGGUAGGGGAGAAUGGAAUUCCUGGUGGAGCGGUGGAAUGCGCAGAUAUCAGGAGGAACACCAGUGGCGAAGGCGGUUCUCUGGGCCUUUCCUGACGCUGAGGAGCGAAAGCGUGGGGAGCGAACAGGCUUAGAUACCCUGGUAGUCCACGCUGUAAACGGUGGGUACUAGGUGUGGGGUCCAUUCCACGGGUUCCGUGCCGUAGCUAACGCUUUAAGUACCCCGCCUGGGGAGUACGGCCGCAAGGCUAAAACUCAAAGGAAUUGACGGGGCCCCGCACAAGCGGCGGAGCAUGCGGAUUAAUUCGAUGCAACGCGUAGAACCUUACCUGGGUUUGACAUGGAUCGGGAGCGCUCAGAGAUGGGUGUGCCUCUUUUGGGGUCGGUUCACAGGUGGUGCAUGGCUGUCGUCAGCUCGUGUCGUGAGAUGUUGGGUUAAGUCCCGCAACGAGCGCAACCCUUGUUCACUGUUGCCAGCACGUUAUGGUGGGGACUCAGUGGAGACCGCCGGGGUCAACUCGGAGGAAGGUGGGGAUGACGUCAAGUCAUCAUGCCCCUUAUGUCCAGGGCUUCACGCAUGCUACAAUGGCUGGUACAGAGAGUGGCGAGCCUGUGAGGGUGAGCGAAUCUCGGAAAGCCGGUCUCAGUUCGGAUUGGGGUCUGCAACUCGACCUCAUGAAGUCGGAGUCGCUAGUAAUCGCAGAUCAGCAACGCUGCGGUGAAUACGUUCCCGGG
rnacentral:rRNA from 1 species